GACGAACGCUGGCGGCGUGCUUAACACAUGCAAGUCGAACGGAAAGGCCCUGCUUUUGUGGGGUGCUCGAGUGGCGAACGGGUGAGUAGCCCGUGAGUAACCUGCCCUUGACUUUGGGAUAACUUCAGGAAACUGGGGCUAAUACCGGAUAGGAGCUCCUGCUGCAUGGUGGGGGUUGGAAAGUUUCGGCGGUUGGGGAUGGACUCGCGGCUUAUCAGCUUGGUGGUGGGGUAGUGGCUUACCACGGCUUUGACGGGUAGCCGGCCUGAGAGGGUGACCGGCGACAUUGGGACUGAGAUACGGCCCAGACUCCUACGGGAGGCAGCAGUGGGGAAUAUUGCACAAUGGGCGGAAGCCUGAGGCAGCAACGCCGCGUGCGGGAUGACGUCCUUCGGGGUGUAAACCGCUUUCGCCUGUGACGAAGCGUGAGUGACGGUAAUGGGUAAAGAAGCACCGGCUAACUACGUG
rnacentral:rRNA from 1 species